UGGGUGUCGAAUUGUUUGAGUUUGUGCUGUAGAAGGCUGAUUUCCAAACGGUUAUGACACCGUCAGCGAGGCGCGAGUGUCGACGCGAGUAACAGUUUUCCGGCUCGAUUCCCAAAACUUUCACGGUUAUUCGUCCGAACCGGAGCGACUACGUGAGAGAUUGUCUUCUGGUAUAGAAAACGUGAGCUGAUGAAUCGCGAACGGAAGUUGAUCGUCUAGGCGAAUCGGAAGCUGAGAAACCGAGGACGUUCUCACGGUGCGAAGAUACGACGAUACGGUAACAUCGAACACACCAAACCAGAAACAAACAUAUCAAUUCAUAUCAAACCUCAUCAUAUCGAUCUCCCGCGCAUCGUCUGACCCGGGUGACACUUAAUCACCAACCGACUGAACAUAUCGAUCCUCUUCCAAAUUCCCCGUCAGAUCCAACGAUGAUUCAUUCUCCACGCAGUCGCGUCAACUGUCGAUCACACGGGAC